GAUGAACGCUGGCGGCGUGCCUAAUACAUGCAAGUCGAGCGAACGGACGAGAAGCUUGCUUUUCUGAUGUUAGCGGCGGACGGGUGAGUAACACGUGGAUAACCUACCUAUAAGACUGGGAUAACUUCGGGAAACCGGAGCUAAUACCGGAUAAUAUUUUGAACCGCAUGGUUCAAAAGUGAAAGACGGUCUUGCUGUCACUUAUAGAUGGAUCCGCGCUGCAUUAGCUAGUUGGUAAGGUAACGGCUUACCAAGGCAACGAUGCAUAGCCGACCUGAGAGGGGGUUGGGCCACACGGGAACAGAGACAGGGUCAAGACCACAGCGGGAGGCAGAAGGAGGGAUUCUUCCGAAAGGGGGGAAGGCCGGACGGGGCAACGCGGCGGGAGGAAGAAAGGUUUUGGGAACGAAAAACUUUGUUAUAAGGGAAAAACAUAUGUGUAAGUAAGUGUGCACAUCUUGAGGGAACCUAAUAAGAAAGCCACGCCUAACUACGGC
rnacentral:rRNA from 1 species